rnacentral:rRNA from 1 species
GAUGAACGCUGGCGGCGUGCCUAAUACAUGCAAGUCGAGCGAACAGAUAAGGAGCUUGCUCCUUUGACGUUAGCGGCGGACGGGUGAGUAACACGUGGGUAACCUACCUAUAAGACUGGGAUAACUUCGGGAAACCGGAGCUAAUACCGGAUAAUAUUUCGAACCGCAUGGUUCGAUAGUGAAAGAUGGUUUUGCUAUCACUUAUAGAUGGACCCGCGCCGUAUUAGCUAGUUGGUAAGGUAACGGCUUACCAAGGCGACGAUACGUAGCCGACCUGAGAGGGUGAUCGGCCACACUGGAACUGAGACACGGUCCAGACUCCUACGGGAGGCAGCAGUAGGGAAUCUUCCGCAAUGGGCGAAAGCCUGCCGGAGCAACGCCGCGUGAGUGAUGAAGGUCUUCGGAUCGUAAAACUCUGUUAUUAGGGAAGAACAUACGUGUAAGUAACUGUGCACGUCUUGACGGUACCUAAUCAGAAAGCCACGGCUAACUACGUG